rnacentral:rRNA from 1 species
UACGGGGGGAGCAAGCGUUGUUCGGAUUUACUGGGCGUAAAGGGCGCGUAGGCGGCGUGACUAGUCACUUGUGAAAUCUCCGGGCUUAACUCGGAACGGUCAAGUGAUACUGUCGUGCUAGAGUACAGAAGGGGCAACUGGAAUUCUCGGUGUAGCGGUGAAAUGCGUAGAUAUCGAGAGGAACACCUGCGGCGAAGGCGGGUUGCUGGGCUGAUACUGACGCUGAGGCGCGAAAGCUAGGGGAGCGAACGGG